rnacentral:rRNA from 1 species
CAUUCCACCAGCAUCCUAAGCGUGAAAAAGACGAGUCUUUCGCAAAAAGCACGCUGCGUUCCUCAGUCCCCCAGGAUGUAUCCAACGGAAAGCUAUAACACAGCCGAGACUGCUACCUUCAAACCGUCAUUAUCCACCCCGGAAAACUGAUGCUGGCCUGCAAACCGAAGCAAGCUCCGGCAAGCAAGUCUGACUUCAAGCGUUUCCCUUCCAACAAUUUCACGUACUGUUAACUCUCUUUCCAAAGUGCUUUUCAUCUUUCCCUCACGGUACUUGUUCGCUAUCGGUCUCUCGCCAAUAUUUAGCUUUAGAUGGAAUUUACCACCCAAUUUGAGCUGCAUUCCCAAACAACUCGACUCAUUGAAAGUGUAUCACAAAGCGCUGGGCGUCCGCACCAUAUACGGGGGUUUCACCACUAUGCCGCUGUAUUCCAACAGACUUGUGUGCGGUCCAACGCGGAAAACACUUCUAGAGAUUACAACUCGGACACCGAAGGUGCCAGAUUAUAAAUUUGAGCUCUUCCCGCUUCGCUCGCCGCUACUAGGGGAAUCCUUG